rnacentral:lncRNA from 1 species
CCUCCAGUCAUUUAUAAGCCGAGGAACAAGCCUUCUCACACACCAAACAAGGCUGACACAAAGUCAAGGCCGAAAGGAUUGGCGCCUCUUAAGGACUGUAUUUGUCUGCCCCGGCUGCCAUGACAAAGUACCACAGACGGGGUGGUUCAAACAAGUUGACCUUCUCACAGCUCUGGAGGCUGGAGGUCCAAAAUGGAGGUGCCAGAAGGCCUGAUUUCUCCUGGCCCCCUCUCCUUGGAGUGCAGACAGCCGUGCCCUUGCUGCCUCUUCACAUGGCCGUCCCUCUGUGCACGCGCCCUGGUGGCUCUCUCUGUGUUCUGAUAGCCUCCUCUUCCCAGGACACCAUUUUCACUGUGUCAGGGCCCACCCUAACGGCCUCAUUUUAACUUACUUCCCUCUUUAAAGGCCCUCUCUCCAGAUACAGUCACAUUCUGGCACUGGGGGUUAGGGCUUCAACAUAGGAAUCUGAGGGGACACAAUUCAGUCCAUAACAAGGACCUACUGUGUGUGCAGCACAUUAGCUCGUCUUCACACCCACCCCUGCCGGGCGCUGUGGGCCUUACUCCUGUUUGAAAGACGGUGGAGUGGUGUUGGACCAGGCUGCAGUGGCUCUCGGUCCGCGGCUGACAGUAAUGGCGCAGCAUUCGAGGCCAUGCUCUGCCCUCUGGCAUGUCGCCUUUCGUGGGAGAAGCAGGUGGAGCCGGGCUGAGUCUUAAAAAGCCGUCCUUCGGAUGAGUCGGGGGUGAGUGGGGCCGGAGGAGCCGGGGAGGCGGUGCCAGGGCAGGAGAGAUGGAAGAAGAGGAGACAGCCUUCCAGGUAAGGGCGGGAGAGCUGCAGGGCCCUCCUGAGGACUCAGUCCAGCCCGCCCACUUCACUGGUGAGGAAACUGAGGCUCGGAGAGGAGGAAGCGAUGCAACGGUCCACUUGGUGUAUCUGCCUGUGAGUCUUGUCUUCUCUCUUCAAGGCCAGGCGGUGGCGUGGGUUUCUCUCUGCUCCCCAUAGGGCCCAGCAGGCCCUUCAGAGAGGAGACUCAGGUGUGGACAGGAGACAGCGGGAGGAAAUGGGACAGUGGGGGUUCUCAACUUGACGCCCCGACGCCGAACAGUGUGACUUGGGGCAAUGAGGUGACAUCGUGAAGAAUCUGGGUAGUGGAGCCACACUGAUUCGGUUCACGGUGACCCAGCCAGAAGCAGCCGCCAGACCCCCACACGGCUGCCCUGCCUCAGCUCUAAGGAGAAACAGCUGCUUCGGCCCCCUUUCGGGAAUCCUGUGACUAGAG